AUUGAACGCUGGCGGCAGGCCUAACACAUGCAAGUCGAACGAGUGGCGGACGGGUGAGUAAUGUCUGGGAAACUGCCCGAUGGAGGGGGAUCACUCCUGGAAACGGUAGCUAAUACCGCAUACCAUCGGAUGUGCCCAGAUGGGCUUGGCGAGUAGGUGGGGUACCGGCUCACCUAGGCGACGAUCCCUAGCUGGUCUGAGAGGAUGACCAGCCACACUGGAGCUGAGACACGGUCCAGACGCCUACGGGAGGCAGCGGUUGGGAAUAUUGCACAAUGGGCGCAAGCCUGAUACAGCCAUGCCGCGUGUAUGAAGAAGGCCUUCGGGUUGUAAAGUACUUUCAGCGAGGAGGCGUUACUCGCAGAAGAAGCACCGGCUAACUCCGUGCCAGCCGCCGCGGUAAUAC
rnacentral:rRNA from 1 species